rnacentral:rRNA from 1 species
AUUGAACGCUGGCGGCAGGCCUAACACAUGCAAGUCGAACGAGUGGCGGACUGGUGCGUAAUGUCUGGGAAACUGCCUGAUGGCGGGGGAUAACUACUGGAAACGGUAGCUAAUACCGCAUACCCUCAGAUGUGCCCAGAUGGGAGUAGCUUGUUGGUGGGGUAACGGCUCACCAAGGCUACGAUCCCUAGCUGGUCUGAGAGGAUGACCAGCCACACUGGAACUGAGACACGGUCCAGACUCCUACGGGAGGCAGCAGUGGGGAAUAUUGGACAAUGGGCGCAGGUCUGAUGCAGCAAUGCCGCGUGUAUGAAGAAGGCCUUCGGGUUGUAAAGUACUUUCAGCGGGGAGGCGUUACCCGCAGAAGAAGCACCGGCUAACUCCGUGCCAGCAGCCGCGGUAAUAC